CCCAUGGCCAAGUCGAGGGGUAACAUUGUGCUUGCACAGAUGACGACCGGCGCACGGGUGCGUAACGCGUAUAGAACCUACCUUUUACAGAGGAAUAGCCUUUAGAAAUGAAGAUUAAUGCCUCAUAGUAUUGAGUAAUCGCAUGAUUAUUUAAUUAAAGAUUUAUCGGUAAAAGAUGGCUAUGCGUCCUAUUAGUUAGUUGGUAAGGUAACGGCUUACCAAGACAUCGAUAGGUAGGGGUCCUGAGAGGGAGAUCCCCCACACUGGUACUGAGACACGGACCAGACUCCUACGGGAGGCAGCAGUGAGGAAUAUUGGACAAUGGAGGAGACUCUGAUCCAGCCAUGCCGCGUGUAGGAAGAAUGCCCUAUGGGUUGUAAACUACUUUUAUACAGGAAGAAACACUGGUAUGUAUACCAGCUUGACGGUACUGUAAGAAUAAGGACCGGCUAACUCCGUGCCAGCAGCCGCGGUAAC
rnacentral:rRNA from 1 species